rnacentral:sRNA from 1 species
UUUUUUUUUGGUUUUCAGAUCUUCUGUUUUUUUG